CGCUGCGUCACGAGGCUGUGUCAGAAGUUGCUCGCCGUCAAUGAUAUUUGAAUGUAAUCGAAAUUUCGAAGUAUUUGCGCCAUAAUGGGCCCUCUCGCAUCGUCUGCCGAACACCCGCGGUCUGCUCAGGAAAUAUUUUCUACGUUGGAGGCAUGGAAGCUUGCGGGAGAAGAUUCGCGACUUUCUGGUUACCUUGGCUGUGGGCAUAGCUGGAUCCGUCGCGGCAUUGAUGAGGAAAGAAGAACAGGGACCGCACGAACCGUAGCAGCAGCAUUAACACAAACAACCAAGUCUCUUUCUAUAAAUGGAGACAUUCUUUUUGUGCGAUUAACCGAAUUAUCUUGAACCAUUGCUUGAGGCCUGCUC
rnacentral:lncRNA from 1 species